rfam:Dipodomys ordii contig_40101, whole genome shotgun sequence.
GGGAAGGUGGCUCAGUGGUAGAGUGCUUGCCUUGUAUGCAUGAGGUCCUGGGUUCGAUUUCUCUACACCCCA